GGCGAACGGGUGAGUAAUACAUAGGUAACCUGCCCCUGUGCGGGGGAUAACAGGAGGAAACUCCUGCUAAUACCGCAUAGCCAUGAGCACCGCAUGGAGCUCAUGCCAAAUAUCCUUCAGGGGAUAGCGCAGGGAUGGACCUAUGGCGCAUUAGCUAGUUGGCGGGGCAACGGCCCACCAAGGCAACGAUGCGUAGCCGGCCUGAGAGGGCGGACGGCCACAUUGGGACUGAGACACGGCCCAGACUCCUACGGGAGGCAGCAGUAGGGAAUUUUCGGCAAUGGGGGAAACCCUGACCGAGCAACGCCGCGUGAGCGAAGAAGGCCUUCGGGUCGUAAAGCUCUGUUGUAAAGGAAGAACGUCGCAUGCAGGAAAUGGUGUGCGAGUGACGGUACUUUACCAGAAAGCCACGGCUAACUACGUGCCAGCAGCCGCGGUAAUACGUAGGUGGCGAGCGUUAUCCGGAAUCAUUGGGCGUAAAGAGGGAGCAGGCGGCCGCAAGGGUCUGUGGUGAAAGACCGAAGCUAAACUUCGGUAAGCCAUGGAAACCGGGCGGCUAGAGUGCGGAAGAGGAUCGUGGAAUUCCAUGUGUAGCGGUGAAAUGCGUAGAUAUAUGGAGGAACACCAGUGGCGAAGGCG
rnacentral:rRNA from 1 species